CGGUCACGUUCGUUGCGACUAGAAACCACAAUUUCUGGUGUGCACAAAAAUAGUUUUCGCCGUCAGAGGUCGCUAUGAUUUGUUAAAAAUCUUUAAAUCACGCUUUUGGUCACUAUUUUCACAAAGGAACUAAAAAUUGGACAACAGAAUAUAUAUAAAUGAUCCUACUUAUAGGCCACCUCGACAACCCUGUUUUUGUCAGGAUUUGUGCAGCACUGACUUCCCCAUCUUUACUUAUUUAACCUCAAAAAUCCUACUGAAGUUGUUAAGCUUUCCUUUGUCAUCUAUUAGGAUUACAACAUCGCCGACUUUGGGUUUGAUCUUAUUUGAAACAUGUUUUGAAUUCCUGACAUGUUGCUCUUUAAGUGCGUCAAUAUAGUUAGAGCUCCACAGUUUAUCGAAAGUAAGCAAAGUCCGAUUACAUUUUGAAAGAGUUAGCAAUGACUCUCUAUCUACUAAAGUACGACCAUGCAGGAGCAUGUGGGCGACAAGCUAUGGUUCGUCAUUGGGUCAUAUAUGUAAGCGGUCUAUGUUUACUACGUACUGGCGUGUGCACAAUGUAGGAACAUAUCUACAUCUACAUAUAUAGUGACUAUAGACGUAUAGAUUCGCUCAAUCACGCAUG
rnacentral:rRNA from 1 species